rnacentral:lncRNA from 1 species
UGUGUCAUGCAGCUGCUAUGGGGGGAUGGAGGAGGAGUUGCAUUGGCAAUUCAAGACUGCCUUUCUUACCCUUUUCAGUGCCUCUUUCAGUGAUACGAAGCUAAAACCAGAUACUGCUUUCAUAGUACUCUUCUGACCAUGGUUUUCUGGAGUUUUUUCGUAUGGAGUUUGUAAGCUUCCUGACAUGUUAUUUUUGGCAGAUUUUGAUGGAUGUACAUUGAUGGAUAGCCACAUGGAUCCAGAAAAUAAAGACUUCUACUCUGCAUAUUGACUAAAGCAGAAGAUAUGCAGGGAAGCUCAGUCUCUCAAUUGAGUGGAUUCUGAAAUUUAUCCUGUUGUCUUCAGCUACUAAGGCUAAUUUGCAAAUCACACUGUGUACGGAAACAACCUGUUCAGUGGCUGCUGAUUAACUCCCAAAGAUUGAUGUACUGAAGAAGAAUGACCUCCCCCUUGACACCAAUGCUACUAGUCAAUAACAACCACUGUGACUCAGAACAAAUUCUCUGGGGGCAGGCAGUGAAGCUUCUUCUUUUGUUGACCUUACCAGACCACAAGGCUGAAAAUAUUCUGUGGCCUGAUGCCCUUAAAUUGAUCAUAUUCAUACAAUCAAGCAGAAAAGAAAUUAUUUUUCCCUCUCUCUCUCUGUCUAUAUAUAUACUUACUACUAUAUACAUAUGUGUGUAUAUAUAUGCUAUAUAUGUGUGUGUAUAUAUAUGCUAUAUAUGUGUGUGUAUAUAUGCUAUAUAUGUGUAUGUAUAUAUAUAGCAGUACAUAUAGAUAUAAUUAGUAUAUAUAGAAGUAGUAAAUAUAUACAAAUAUA